UACGGAGGGUGCAAGCGUUGCUCGGAAUCACUGGGCGUAAAGCGACCGCAGGCGGUCUGACAAGUCGGAUGUGAAAGCCCUGGGCUCAACUCAGGAACUGCAUUCGAAACUGGCAGACUCGAGUACGGGAGAGGGGGGUGGAAUUCCUGGUGUAGGGGUGAAAUUCGUUGAUAUCAGGAGGAACACCGGCGGCGAAGGCGGCCCCCUGGCCCGCAACUGACGCUGAGACGCGAAAGCGUGGGGAGCAAACAGG
rnacentral:rRNA from 1 species